rnacentral:rRNA from 1 species
GAUGAACGCUGGCGGCGUGCCUAAUACAUGCAAGUCGAGCGAACAGACGAGGAGCUUGCUCCUCUGACGUUAGCGGCGGACGGGUGAGUAACACGUGGAUAACCUACCUAUAAGACUGGGAUAACUUCGGGAAACCGGAGCUAAUACCGGAUAAUAUAUUGAACCGCAUGGUUCAAUAGUGAAAGACGGUUUUGCUGUCACUUAUAGAUGGAUCCGCGCCGCAUUAGCUAGUUGGUAAGGUAACGGCUUACCAAGGCAACGAUGCGUAGCCGACCUGAGCGGGUGAUCGGCGCCACUGGAACUGAGACACGGUCCAGGCUCCUACGGGAGGCAGCAGUAGGGAAUCUUCGGCAAUGGGCGGAAGCCUGACGGAGCAACGCCGCGUGAGUGAUGAAGGUCUUCGGAUCGUAAAACUCUGUUAUUAGGGAAGAACGAAUGUGUAAGUAACUAUGCACGUCUUGACGGUACCUAAUCAGAAAGCCACGGCUAACUACGUG